UGAAAAGCUAUAAUGCUUUAAGGAGUAACUGACUUGUGAUGCUCAGAAAGCGCCGUUGCUGUGAAGGUGUGAUGACAAGUGAGUAAAAGUUAAAGGAUUGGCGUGAAUUUUACGAGAUUCACUGGUAGCACCCAUUAUUGUGCACGCGUUUAGUUGUUGUGAACGCGAUGAGUAGCCGGAUGUGAGUUCGGUUAGCAAUAAGGUGGUACCGCGCGUAAGCGCCCUUUGG
rnacentral:ncRNA from 1 species